rnacentral:tRNA from 1 species
GUUUCCAUAGUGUAGUAGUUAUCACGUUCGCCUUACACGCGAAAGGUCCCCAGUUCGAAACUGGGUGGAAACA